UUUGCAGAGCAGCAUUCCACGGCAGGCGGGCCUUGGCCAAGAUUUCGCCGUGCACUCUCUUUUUCACAGGUGACAGGCGGCGACGCUUGGAGUAGCAAACUUACACAAGUCACUACGAGCUCGCUUCAGUGGUUAACUUGCUGCCGGCAAAGUGUGGGUGUGUGCCUUCCUUUCAUUCCUGCAUCCUGGAGACAAGCUAAGGCUUGAGCGGACACAUCAACGCGUCUACGAUCUGAUUAUGUAACAGCAAGCCGCUUUCACGUAUUUGAUUUAAUUAAGUGAGCUGCAUUUGUUUGCAUGGAUAAGUUUCACAGCCAUGCGCAUCACCUGCACAUCUGCCCAAAUUGCUUCUUCAUUUGGGCUCUUUUUUAUUUUAUUAUUACAUGCGGCGGUGCUCAACAAGAAUGUUCCAGCACCUUCCCUGCCUAAGAGGGAUUUUUGUGGUUGGUUGUUUUCUUUCUACAGUCUGACAGAAAUCAUCACGUCAAAUUUCAUUCCUCAGAAGUGAUGUUGAAUGCCUUGUUGGGGUGUGGCCGCAUACGCAAGAUUGUGUUCAGGAAUGAAAAGAGCAGGAACGUUGACAAUGACUGACUUCUAUGGCAGCAAGUGCAAAACUUUGAGUAAAAGGUGGCCUGAGUGCCGUUGAAGCAAAUUUCAGCUUAUGGCGGGUGCAUUGUCGCUGGCCGCGGGCCAGGUGAGCAGAAGACGAGCCGGUUUUGCUUGGGUGUGUCCCUACGGUGGCUUUAGCUCAGCCCGCCGACACAUCUGUAAAAAUCCAGAUGAAUGUUCAUCCAUCCCGACAAGGGUUGCAAAUUUCCUUAACCUGUCCUAACAUGAAUAAAGCUCAAGUUGUGUUUCUAAGCGUGUAAGUUCCGUUUUGCCAUUCAUGGACCGCGUUUGUCGAGUUACUGCACUUUGUAGUCUGUGGGAGAACUCGGGGUCAUUUUUUCUUUACUUCGCAACUCGGACCUUCCAGUUCAAAAGAGUGUUCUCGUGCACUUUUCUUAGUUGGAAGUUGGACAAGUCGGACUCCCCACUUCCCUCGAUUGCAGAUUUAGUUCCCGGUCUUGAGUUUUUUUUCCUUGUGAUGGUUUUGUACUUUUUGUUUAUUUUUUGGCUUCUCUUUGAAAUUUCUUUUUUGAGUUGCACACCAGCCUCAUUGAUUUGAUGAACAAUUGCAGCCGUAGCAGGCAGAAUAAUGAAAGUGAGUGCUGUGUACCUGUGUGUGCGUGUGUGUAUUUAUGUGUGCGUGCAUGCGUGCGUGUGUGAGGGAGUAGGAGAUGGCCUUCGAGACAAAGCCCAAACUUAUUCAUUGCUUAGGGCACUUUCAUCAAAGUUGAAAGCAGUCUGUGUGUGACUCGCUGGGGUGAAACUGAGAGCCUCUGUGCUCACCGUUGCCAUGGAGACGAUUUUGCCACCCAUCAUUGCAAAAAAAAUGCAAUAAAUGGUCAUUUUGAAAGUUGUAGGCUACAGUUUGUAAGGCGAAUGUACAUUGGAAAUGUGCCAAGUGUGUUGAGUACAGGUGAACCGUCAUUUUGCCAACAGCUAAUCCUGUGGCAGUGCCACACCUGAGCGCCUGCUCAGCUGACAUGGAUAUGCCUCCUGGGAUGUGCAGAGGGGGAGGGCGAGCUCAAAUGAAAAGAGAAGGAUACCUGAGCUCGGACAGCUCUAUGGUCCGAUUGAAACUACAGAUACUGCAGCAACUUCACGCACACGGGUGGGAAUAAUCAAUCGAGCCACGCAAAAUAGGUUUGCAUUUCAUCCGAAACACUCGUUGUGGACUUGACACUGCCUCCCAUGAUAUGAUUGACGCUUCUUUUAAUCACACUCCUUGUUCAAUUCAAUAUUUGAAGAGCUUGGACAUGUUUGUCAUAAUCAUUUAUCCUCAUUCUAAUUUGAAGGUGUGGCCACGUUCUGUUUUAAGCACCAAGAAUGCCAGCUCAGCAAUGUGCUAUAUGGGUGUAGUUGGCAGAUAACACACCAGUUCAUUUAUGCCCAGCUGCCCAGCCCAGUCCAUCACAUUUACUUUUACAGUAAUCGAGGAGGAGGACGUUUGAUAAACAUGAGAGAUGAGAACUGAGCGAACAAACAAAGAUGACGAUUCAAAGGACAUAUGAGUACAUAUGAGAGGAGCCCAGAGAUAAUUCAGCAGGCCUACUUCAGCAGGGAUCAAGUCCUCGGCAACAAAUUGUUGGGUAAAUGCAAAACUCCAGUUCAGGCUCCUUAAUUGUGUCACUGUCACUGUUGGAAUCUCAAGGUCACACAUUCUCGGGCAUGAAGACCAGUUGCAGUCACCGACACGCCCAUAAUAGCGACGUCUCGCUCAAUACAUUCGAAUCAUUGUGUCGCAUAACAUUGUAACGAUCCAGAAGAAAUACUCUCGCAUGGUGACAAUGGACGUGUCUGAAACGAUGCAAGGACGUGCGUGAAUUAUGUGAUGGUUUGUCGCCCCCGUGCGGCCGAAUAGUCUAAGCGCCCCCUCUAUUGUCUUUCUAAACCAGUAACUACUAGGGGUGUAAAUCGCAGGUUUUUUCCACGAUACGAUAUCAUAUCGAAACAAAGAACUACGAUACGAUAUUUGCCGAUAUCUUAAAGCCUGCU